GACAAAUGAAGAGAGAAUAAUCCAGGAAACAGGGUUAUAUCCAAAGUUCUUGGAUAGCUAGAAUGAUGGCUUCAGGCCUUCAGCAACAUCAGAUUCUGAUAAUGUUUAAUGAUAAUCAGAACAACUUGUCUAUAUGGUCCAAAAAAUAAAAAUUGAAAAACGAAAUAGUAUCAAGAAUGUGAAAACAUCUGAGCUGCCCAUCCAUAAAUCUGUCAAAUUCUUCUGUUUAUUAAUGUUUUUGAGUGUUUACCUUGAAUUUUCUAAUUAUACAUAAUCAGAGAUUAAGAUAACAUUAUUUUAUAACUAGUUUGAUCCAUGAGUCUGCUGCCACUCUACUAUUGCUAGAGUAUGCCGUCCCCCACAAGCAACAAGUUUAGCAAUCCAGUGUCCCUCAGCUUCAUUGCUACCAAGAUUUCUGGGAGGUGGGAUGUCAAUUGGCACUUCCAGUGGUUGACCAGUUGUCACCUUCCUCCCAUAUCCCAGUCGUCCGUGGUCACCUCGACCAAAUGAAAACAUUCGUCCAUCAAGUGUCAAUGCAACUGAAUGAGUCCCACCGCAGGAUACCUGAACAAUGUGUUCCCCAGCUAGAAGAUGAACCCUUUGAGGAACCAUUUUGCUGCUCUUGUCAUUAUCUCCGAAUCCAAGUCUCCCAUGUUCCCCUCUGCCCCAACCAUACACCUCUCCAUCAUCAGUUUGUGCAGUAGAAUGCCAUCCACCAGCAGCAAUAUCAACCUAUGUAAGCUCAUAAAUAUAAUGGCUAUCAGAAAAAUAUAUAAAAGCACAUAAUCUCAAAGACUUCACAGAAAGCAAGCACCACUUUUUCAUCAAUCACAACACAUACUAAUAACCAAAAUUAAAAUUUCAAAUUAGUAAUAGUAAGCAGUAAAAGAUUCAACCCAUCAACAAAAUGUAUAGACAUAUAAUCUGAUAUGUAGAAGUGAACAGCAAUUAUAGGAUUUAUCAGUCACUUGCAAUAUCUUUAGGGCAUAGAUUAUCAACCCUCAGCUGCUAACAAACACUGGUUGCCUAGGCUUCCUUUUCUUGAAAAAAAAAAUGUAAGCCUCUUAUAAACUUUUAAAGCUCACACAUAAUAUGAAAUAAAAGCGUCCAGAAGACUCACAUUCCUGUCUUUGGAAUAAGUUCUAGACUGGAUUUUAAGAUGGUGUACACAACACAGAAAUUAAAAUCCUACAGACAAACAAUGCCAGAUAUUGAAAUAAAAGAUAUCAGCACAUCAUCAUCAUCACCUCAAGGGCAAGGGAAUAAAGAAAAGGAGCCCAUGCCACAAAUUGAAACUGUGCACCAAAUUGAAGUUUUAACAUGACCAAGGCAAGGAAUGAUAAAUGGACUACCCCAAACUUCAUAUGAGGCCAAAUUUUCAAAAAACAGUUCCUGCUAGAAAAAAAAUGGUCAUCUUUUUAAGCAUGUUUAUUUAAAAAUAACCUAGAGAGAAGAAUUUUUCCGGGAAAAAUUCUUCUCUCCAGCAUGUUGGCAACCAUGUUGGGAAAAUCAAAAUUUUGAAGGGAUCUUAACUUCAAAAAAUCACAGAUUCAGAUAAAUUAAACUACAUUACGCUAACUACCAAUGGCCAGUAGAAUGGAAGAAAAAAGCAGCUCAAACAGCAAGCUAUUUGGCAACAUAGUACAAACCAAAGUGAGACCAGAGAGCCCUUGGACAGGAAUAGGUUGUGAUCUGGGCUGGGUAUCACCAGUUCCAAGUUGUCCAUAUUCAUUAUUACCCCAUGCCCAUAAAGUUCCAUCUUCUUGAAGAGCUAAAUUAUGAAAUGCCCCCACUGCAAUGAGCUUCACCCUUUCAAGGCCUUGUACCCGCACAGGGACAGAUAUCUGUUUUAUGUCUCCAGGAGGCCAUGGUUGACCCCAAGUCCAUACAUGCCCUUCACGUGUAAGCACCACAGAGUGAGUACCCCCAGCAGCUACCUGGCGCACAACAAGCUUUGAUGCACAGCGCUGAGGAAUCACUAUAUCCCGUCUCAGUGGUCUUCCAGUGUCAUCUUUCCGCUCAGGUUCUUCACCACAUUGCCCAUAUUCAUUCCCACCCCAGGCGUAAGCACGGCCUUGAUCAUCAACGGCCAAGCAAUGCCACCCACCAAUCGCCGCCUGAACAAUGUUAACAUUGGCAAGAGCGUUAACCUGGCUAGGAAUGUUCUCAGUCUUGGUCAGAGGUGGGUGCCCGAGUGUCCCUCUCUGAUUCCAGCCCCAUGUAAACAGCUUGCCGUCGUCACAAAUAGCAAGAGAGUUGCGACUUCCGGCGACAACAGAGCGGAUUUUGUAGGGCUCAAGAGCAUCGACAACGCAGACCCAUUCUUUCUCCUCAUUGUUGCCGAUUCCUAAUUGGCCAUCUUCACCUGAGCCCCAGGUAAUAAUAGAGGUGUGAGCAGCCAUAGCAAAGGAAGGUUAUUGUCAGUGGUUUCUAUGAUAAAGUGGUGUUUUUGGUAGUAGACUAGCAGAAGAAGUGGCGUGACUGAUCGUGGACUUUGGAGGGUUUUUCGUAUUAGCGUAUACUAGCAGAAGAAAUGUGUUGACGAUCCUCUAUGCGGAUUGCGGAAUAUCAAAGUUAGCAGAAAGCGGGCGUCGUUGAAACGAUGGCAAUUAUUCUCUGCCGUAUGGGCUAUGGCAAUUUGGGGAUGGACAAGCUUACCCGCUCCUCCUGUCCUCUGUGUCUCAAUUUACAAUCCAAACUUCUUUUCUUAAUUGGACAAUUUUAUUCCGAUUUUAAAAACAUAUAUUAUAUAUUAAUAAUACAACUUAAAUUUAAAUUAUAUAUGUAGAAAUAAAUAUA
rnacentral:misc_RNA from 1 species